GCCAUCCACUGCUUUCACCAAGAUCACCGAGCACGUCCGCACUUUCACCGCGCCCUCAAUCCUGCAAGGCCAACAAGCAGCAACCAGAAGAAACGCAAAACAAAACGAAAAGUGCGACUGCAGUCCCUCCCCCACCCCUCAAAGAAAAAAAAAAGAAGUGCCGUUCAAAGUACGCACACGCACACACAUAUACACACAUACAUGCAUACAUACAUGCACACACGUAUAUACACACGCCUAUGCCAUACAUACAUGCAGAUAUGCGUAUGUGUACAUAUGUGUAUGGCAUAGGUGUGCAGGCAGGCACGCACGCGAAAAGUGCACAGACAGCAAAAAAUGCGAAGAGACAUAAGAAAAAGGGAACAACAAAAAAAAGGGGUGCCACACACUGCGGGUACGUAACACACCCACAUAUGCAUCCAUAUAUGCACAUCUAUAUAUCUAUAUAUAUGUGCGUACCUUUCCUGUGUGUGUGUGUGUGCAUGUGCCUGGCUAUGUAUUUGUGUACGUAUGUGCGCGUGCGUCUCUCUCUCCUCCCUGCCUGUCUUUUUUCCCUUGCGUGUGUUUUUCGCUGUCUGUCUGUCCUUGUUUGCUCUCUGGUCUCCCUCUCUGUGUCCUCUCACGCUACCUCAUCAACCUCUCUCCUCGCAUGCUCCGCUCCCUCCCUCCCCUCCCCCUUUUUACCCCCCCCCCGCUGCUGCAGGUAUAGCUUCUCCAACCUUGUACCAACAUCCUCGACCUCCUCAUUUUCACUCUCCGCCUCUCCUUACAACUUCUCUCUCCUACCUCUCCCUCUCCCUCUCCCUCUCUCCUCACUCAACUACAG
rnacentral:misc_RNA from 1 species